rnacentral:sRNA from 1 species
GUUUGAGGAGCAUUGCUUCUCAUACAGUAAGGUUUCCCAACAGUGAUGUCACAAGAUUGACCGCAUUGAUCACAGUAAGACCAAAAUGAUAGUUAAGCUUUUAAGGAAGUUUGGUUUUCUCUGAGAAUGAGAAUUGACUUAGAAAACAUAUAUAAUUUGAAAUUAUUUCUUUUGCUAGCCAGUUGAAUGUUAACAUUUUAAAUGAAUCAUAUCUUAUACUUCUAGCUAUUUAAAUACUUUUAAAAUAUUACUUUAAAGGAUUUAAAAAACAUUUAAAAUGAAAAUUACUUUUAAUUUACAACUGAAAUUAUAGGCCUAAAUAUACUAAAUUAUUUCAGUGUGAGUUAAAUUCUGAACAUCAUCUUUUUUGAGUUUUUAUUUUUACCAGAAAAUGACAGAAAGGUUAAGGUGAUUCCACAUUAGGAAAUAUAUAUAAAAGUAAAUUAC